rnacentral:rRNA from 1 species
GCCAGCAGCCACAUCACCUUGCAACACACUGAAGCUAAGCAGGUGUCAGCCUGGUCAGUGCCUGGAUGGAGACCCCCUGGGAAAGCUAAGGUUGCUGCUGGAA